GACGAACGCUGGCGGCGUGCUUAACACAUGCAAGUCGAACGGAAAGACCCUGCUUUUGUGGGGUGCUCGAGUGGCGAACGGGUGAGUAACACGUGAGUAACCUGCCCUUGACUUUGGGAUAACUUCAGGAAACUGGGGCUAAUACCGGAUAGGAGCUCCUGCUGCAUGGUGGGGGUUGGAAAGUUUCGGCGGUUUGGGAUGGACUCGCGGCUUAUCAGCUUGUUGGUGGGGUAGUGGCUUACCAAGGCUUUGACGGGUAGCCGGCCUGAGAGGGUGACCGGCCACAAUGGGACUGCGGUACGGCCCAGACUCCUACGGGAGGCAGCAGUGGGGAAUAUUGCACAAUGGGCGGAAGCCUGAUGCAGCAACGCCGCGUGCGGGAUGACGGCCUUCGGGUUGUAAACCGCUUUCGCCUGUGACGAAGCGUGAGUGACGGUAAUGGGUAAAGAAGCACCGGCUAACUACGUG
rnacentral:rRNA from 1 species